UACGGAGGGUGCAAGCGUUAUCCGGAUUCACUGGGUUUAAAGGGUGCGUAGGCGGGCAGGUAAGUCAGUGGUGAAAUCUCCGAGCUUAACUCGGAAACUGCCAUUGAUACUAUUUGUCUUGAAUGUAGUGGAGGUGAGCGGAAUAUGUCAUGUAGCGGUGAAAUGCUUAGAUAUGACAUAGAACAUCGAUUGCGAAGGCAGCUCGCUACACUAUGAUUGACACUGAGGCACGAAAGCGUGGGGAUCAAACAGG
rnacentral:rRNA from 1 species